UACAGAGGUCCCAAGCGUUACUGAGAAUUACUGGGUUUAAAGGGUGCGUAGGUGGCGCGUUAAGUCUGUUGUGAAAUCCCCGGGCUCAACCCGGGAAUCGCUUCGGAUACUAGCGCGCUUGAGGCCGGUAGAGGUCACUGGAACUGACGGUGGAGCGGUGAAAUGCGUAGAUAUCGUCAGGAACGCCUGUGGUGAAGACGGGUGACUGGGCCGGUUCUGACACUGAGGCACGAAAGCGUGGGGAGCGAACGGG
rnacentral:rRNA from 1 species